AAUUCUGCAGCGAAUCUCCACCGUCCGAUCUUAAUCAUCCUCCGACGAUGCCGAUCCGGAACAUUGCCGUUGGCCGACCCGAGGAGGCGUACCACCCGGACGCCUUGAGGGCGGGUCUCGCCGAGUUCAUUUCCACGCUGAUCUUCGUCUUCGCCGGCGAGGGCUCCGGCAUGGCCUUCGCCAAGCUCACCCACGGGGCCGCGACCACGCCAGCAGGCCUCGUCGCCGCCGCUCUAGCCCACGGAUUCGGCCUCUUCGUCGCCGUCUCCGUCAGUGCGAACAUCUCCGGCGGACACGUCAACCCCGCGGUCACUUUCGGCGCCUUCGUCGGCGGCAAUAUCUCCCUCCUCCGCGGCAUCCUCUAUUGGAUCGCCCAGCUCCUCGGGUCCGCCGUCGCGUGCGGUCUCCUCAGGUUCGCAACCAACUACCAGGUAAUUUUAUCACUUUCUGGCCCUUUUUGAACUAUAAGUUUCUCGUUAAGUUCGUUAAUAUAUCAUUUUAUAUUAAAAGUGUGACUAACGGGUCUUGAUUAUGUGCUUCGCAGACUACCUCAGCAUUUGCUCUCUCCGAGGGGGUUGGGGUAUGGAACGCGUUCGUUUUCGAGAUCGUGAUGACGUUUGGGUUGGUGUACACGGUGUACGCCACAGCCAUUGACCCGAAGAGAGGCAGCGUGGGAACAAUCGCGCCGAUCGCGAUCGGUUUCGUAGUUGGCGCGAACAUUUUGGCGGGUGGGGCUUUCGAUGGAGCAUCCAUGAACCCGGCCGUUUCAUUCGGGCCGGCUUUGGUGAGCUGGAACUGGCACAACCACUGGAUCUACUGGGCCGGGCCUUUGAUCGGCGGUGGGCUUGCUGGGCUUAUUUACGAGUUCGUCUUCAUCGGCAACUCUAGCCACGAGCCACUCCCGACCGCUGAUUACUAAUUAAUUAAGCUUUAAUUAAGCCCUAAUUAAGAUUCAAUCAAAUGAUAUGCAUGCAUGAUGAAUCUUCACUUGUUUUUAUGAGGGUUUUGUACCUUUGAAUUCUUGUGUUUUAUUUCAUCAAGAAAGAUCAUGAUCGUUCAUCAUGAGUUCGUUGCCACCGUUGAUUGUAUUUGUUUCGCGAUUUGCAUGCUCCGGUUGUAUGAUUAAUUUAAUUUAUCCUUUUUUAUUAUUAUAAAUUUUCUGUAAUUUAUUUCUUGAAGAUACUCUUCUUCUCACUUCUUUUUACUGUUUUUAAUUUGGACCUACGCGGCCACGCGUCAUAUGAUAGAGAUAGGGUUGGGUUGGAUUAAACAGUUAAAUCUAGAAUGUGCUUGAUUUUGGUAGUUUUUACCUACCCCCUAAAGUGAAUAACUACUGUUCCUGCAUGUGAUUGAUUUGGCCCUGCCGACACCAACCAUUCGCCAAUAGUAGUAGUAGUUAAUCGGGGGAAGAUACAUGCAUGGGUAAUGUUAAGAAUCAUAAUUUUAGACCAGCAAUAAAUUACGUAUAUCAUGUCACACUAAAUAUUUUGAAUAAUGAAUAAUGAGGACAUUCUUUUUUAUAAACGUUGGAUUUGAAUUUAGAAUUUCUUUCAAUGUUUUAGUCGGUAACUAAGUAGGUUGCUGAUAUGUAUCAUUAUCACGUGCUGGAUAAUAUGAUUAAUUACUUACAAUACAAUCUAAUGAUUUGUUUAGAAGAUUAAUUUCCUCGUCCAUGAAGUUACUAAUUAGAAGUAAUUAAACCAAGCUAGCUAAAAUAAAAUACUCUGGUAGAGAACUAUUUGACAUGUGACUACUAGGAGCCUAUAUGACACACAUAAAUGCAAAUAUAUAAAUGCAAAUAUUAUAGGCAAUAUUAUUAUUAUUUAUGCAUGCGUAUUCAAUCAUGUGGUGUGGGUCUUGGAAAAGGAAUUUUGAAAUUGAUUGAUUUCAAUAUGUUUUUGGGUGGUUGGGUUUUCAUGUGAAGAGCACGAGAGGUGUGUGUUUCACGUUGAAAGACUGCUAGAAGAAGAGCCCAGACUACCCAUAUGAAAUGAAUGUGAUCAACUUAAAUAUUAGAGGAAUGGCAUGACCUACUUUCAUUUCAUAGAGAUUCCUCCUCGUCGUCAUCAUCAUCUCGUUCUCAUUCAUGAAAAAAGAAAAAAAGAAGAUGAAGAGCACAUGAUAAUUUUCUGGACCAUACUUUUGUAUCUUGUCCUUUUUAAUCUGCAUCUUUUGGCCACCUUCGUGGCCCGGUGCUAUCGUUUUCAAACCCGAAAGCUGCCCCGCUCUCUCUCUCUCUCUCUCGUAAAUGUUCUGGUUCUCACUGUGCAAACAUUGGCCAAGACGUGGUUUCAAGCGGACCGCACAACUUGCAAUGCUACCUUUCAAUUUCAUAGGAUCUUCUAAAGAAGAUUUGGGGUCCCAUGGCUCACCGUCCAUUCUGGUUUUCUAAUUUAUUAUCACACGGUUUAUAAAUAGUUUUUACUUUUCAAAUGGUAAUGUUGAUUUCUUGCCAAACUUUAUGUUACCACACAAAUAUUUAUAUGCAUAUUGACAGACUAAGAAUCCGAAUCGCGCAUUAUCAAAUAAAAAUUAAUAUGAUCAAUAUCAAAACUCACGUCACACAUUUAAAUAAGAACCAACAUGAUUAAUGAUCGAGAUUGAUAUUCUCAUGUUGUGUAAACGAGUGAAGAAGAAACUCACUGAAGCACACAAUACAAUAUUAGUGAAACUUUGCAGUGGAGUGAUUGAUUGACGACACAAAGCUGGUGGAAAGUAAUUUUUUUUUUAUUCUGACCCAAAUGAAGCCUUUGGCUCUUAGCCAGUUAUGUCGAACCAGUUGCAACUGGAGACUGCACCAUGGCUUGGCUUCUCACGUCGUUUUGACGUGACCUGUCCCUACCCAGUUUGCUAGAAUUAUUAACAAAACGUGAGAGAAGUUUGGCAGAGGUUGGGGAUGAUGAUGAUAAUGAACAAAUGUCUGUUUGUGUGUAGAACCGAAUACGGCCUUCAUUUCUUGCUCUCAGAAUACAAUAAUACUAGAGAAUUUGAAAUAUUGAAAUAUUGAGGGACUUUAUAUGAUUAAGGAAGCUGUCUGGAGUACUGAGUAUAAUGGUUUGUGAUAGGUGCCUGAGUUGUUAUGGUGGGAAAAUUAUUGUGGGGGCAACAACAAUUUAAAUUAUUCUAGUGUUCUGUUUUUUUUUUUUAAAGUUAGAAAAGGGAUGGGGAAAAACUCACACACACGAGUACUGUAGGGGUAACGCUUGAGUCAAUCCAACACACACCCCAUAAGUGCUAUAUAUCAUAGUUUAACCAAUUAAAAUAAAAACUAGACAGAUGACAUGUUUACUUAUUUAAAUUAUACAUGGGUAUUACGAGACUUUCACAUUAAAAUUCAUAAUUUAAUAUCCAUAAAACCAUGAAUUAAAUUGACUAGGAGAGAAUGGUCGAUUGGAGAGGUGGAGCCACUCAUGGGCUAGUAGUGACCCUGCCCCUUGCCCCUUGCCCCUUGCCCCCGAAAAUAUUGCUAGAAAACUCUCAUAUUUACAUAAUCGGCCCCUCUAAACAUGUGUAUGGAUGUGAAAUUUGUUAAACUUGUGUAAAAAUCAAUCCAACUACAGCUUGUUAUUUAUAUUUUGGCUCCCCAAAAUUUAAAAUCUUAGCUCCUUAGCUCCGGCCAUGCACGAUCCCCGACCUAUUCAUUGUCCUUUCUACUUUCCCACUUCAUGAGAUGACUUCCCAUAUUCCGAGUAAGUAAACAUGCCAUAAAUGCAAAUAGUCGCCAACCUACAGCUCGAGAGUGCAAGGCGAGAUCAAGAUUCGAGCUGUAGUCCGAAUGUGGGACUUAGGACUCAAGUCCAAAGCUUGGAUUAUGGGCCUGUGGUCUUAGACCUCUGAGCUCGGACCAGGCCACCAAUGAUUCUUGUUUCCUCGCUCAGAAUCUGAUGAACAUUGGUUGAAAGUGCCACUCUAAAAAUGGGCUAGGCUCUUCCAAUAACUGCAAGAGCAGAGGGGUGCCUCCAAACUCAGAUAGGCCCAAAUGAAUUAUUGUUGGGUUGGGUUGCUAUCACGUGGCCACGCAAGCAUAGACUUGAUAACGCUCACGUCAUUAACCACGUGGAUAUAUACAAAUGUCCUGAACCCCAAAGUUAGCCGACAC
rnacentral:lncRNA from 1 species